AGUCAAUAAAUAAAAGAAACUGAUGUUGUAAUAAUACAAUGUGUGUGUGUGUGUGUUUGGUUGAGUAUUUAAAUAUGUGUUCUUGAUUUGAAAUUCAAAAAGGCAUCGCUUGAAAUCGAAGAGAAAGUUUGAGAUGUGAAAUAGCUUCUGCUGUUGAAGGAAUUCAAAGUUGGCAUUGACUAAAAAUGUCAAGAUUACAUGAUAUUUCAAGUUUUAUCUUCAAAUACCUGUCUGCAGGUUUAAAAGGAACUAAAGAAAGUCUACUAUCUACAGCUUCUUUGUAUUUGCAACACUCUCUGCCUGGACACAGCAACGUGGAGGACAAGGCUCUUCCAAAAACAGGGGACACCCCUCAGAAUGUAGAUCUGAAUGAGUUUUACCUACGUUACACAGAACAUUGCAGAGAACUGGAGAAAUAUGGCGCCUACUAUUGAAAUUAUAUGUCAAUUAUUAUGAAACUUGUGCAUGUAUGUGGAAGGUCAGCUUAGUAAAUGUUUAUGCAUUUAAAGUAACUGGUUGGUACUUGUAUUUUCUUUUUAAGCAUUUUCAUAUAGUAAACAAAGUCUUUCUAUAUUUUGUUCAGCUAAUUUAGCUAAUUCGAAGAUUAUGUAAAAAAAAAGAAAAGAAAAAAAAAUUCCCUUUCAGACCGAUCAUCUAUAGGGCAGAUGAUAUAAAGGUCAUCUGUUUCUGUGCUCUACGGUUAACGAGGGUUUCAUGUGGCCAGCACAAAGAACAACUUCCUUUACUUUUCCCCAACUAUUGGAGCUGGGUGGACUUAUAGGCGCCCGAAGAUCUCGCAAUUAAAAAUCCCAGUUUUUACCAGGAUUUGAACCCGGGGCCCUAGUUUCAGAAGCCAAGCGCUUUACCGCUAAGCCAAUGCGCCUCUAAUUAGAUUAUGUAAUUUAAAUUAAAUUUUUAUGGUAAUUAAAAACAUUUUUUUCUCCAAUUUCUAUGACCCCAUUAUUGUUUUUUGAUUUAUAUUGAAUGAUAAUAGUUCACAUUUUGAGUUCAGAAUUUUUAUUGUUUUCAUUAUUAUUGUCUUAGUGAGGUAAUAAGAUUGGGACUUCAUUAUUUCUAAAAAUAUUAUUAAAAACAUUAAUGUUUGACUGUUGUUUUUUAUUUGUAGUUCACAUGUUAGAGUCAGAAUGUAGUCUUAUUUGUAUAGCUCACACAUUAGAAUUAGACUGUAAACUGCUAUUAAGGUUAUGGUUAGAUUUAUACUAGAUUUUAUAGUCAAGACAUACAUUCAGAAUGUUGUUGUUUUUUUUUGUUAUAAUAGUGCAAUUAAUAUAUAUAUAUAUAUAUAUAUAUAUAUAUAUAUAUAUAUAUAUAUAUAUAUAUAUAUAUAUAUAUAUAUAUAUAAUAGUAUGACUCAUGUCUUGACUGCUUAUUAGAAGUGUGACAACAACCCUCCCUCCCCGCCAUUAGAUGUUUCAAGAACUAUCCGAUGAUAUUGUAAAACAUUGUAAGAUCUAUUCCAUACUUAUUUCACAGUUAUGUGUAUUUAGAUCUAAAUCUCACAAAUCAGGCAGCAUUUAAAAAAAUAUCUUAAAUCUAGCUGUGUUCAUCAAUAUGUAUUCUUAAUGACAGAAAUGUUUCCUGAAUGAACUCACAAAACACAUGUAUACAAUACUGUAUAACUACAAGGGUGUGUCUAUAAUGAAUGGAUUUGUUUAGAGCUACAAAACAAUAAAAAUAGAUUGAGAUCA